CCGCCCGUCACGCCAUGGGAGUUGGUUUCACCCGAAGGUGGUGCGCUAACCUGCUUGCAGGAGGCAGCCAACCACGGUGGGAUCAGCGACUGGGGUG
rnacentral:rRNA from 1 species